rnacentral:rRNA from 1 species
UACGUAGGGAGCAAGCGUUGUCCGGAAUCAUUGGGCGUAAAGCGCGCGUAGGCGGCCCUGUAAGUCCGUUGUGAAAGUCAAAGGCUCAACCUUUGAAAGCCGAUGGAUACUGCAGGGCUAGAGUCCGGAAGAGGCGAGUGGAAUUCCUGGUGUAGCGGUGGAAUGCGCAGAUAUCAGGAGGAACACCGAUGGCGAAGGCAGGUCUCUGGGCCACUACUGACGCUGAGAAGCGAAAGCAUGGGGAGCGAACAGG